rnacentral:rRNA from 1 species
UAAUACGGGAGGCAGCAGUGGGGAAUCUUGGACAAUGGGGGCAACCCUGAUCCAGCCAUGCCGCGUGAGUGAUGAAGGCCUUAUGGUCGUAAAGCUCUUUCGCCUGUGAAGAUAAUGACGGUAGCAGGUAAAGAAACCCCGGCUAACUCCGUGCCAGCAGCCGCGGUAAUACGGAGGGGGUUAGCGUUGUUCGGAAUUACUGGGCGUAAAGCGCACGUAGGCGGAUCGGAAAGUUGGGGGUGAAAUCCCGGGGCUCAACCCCGGAACUGCCUCCAAAACUAUCGGGCUAGAGUUCGAGAGAGGUGAGUGGAAUUCCUAGUGUAGAGGUGAAAUUCGUAAAUAUUCUGAGGAACCCCGUGGCGAAAGCGGCUCACUGGCUCGAUACUGACGCUGAGGUGCGAAAGUGUGGGGAACCAACCGGAUUAGAUCCCCUGGUAGGCCACCCCGUAAACCAUGAAUGCCAGUCGUUCGGUAACCUGCUUUUUC